CGCAGAAAAGUCCUCUACCGUGUAACAGCGCGUGCCCGCGGCUUCACGGCGAUAAUUUAGCUCGUUUACCAACUAGAAACACCCCUUUCCUCCUCCUCUACGGGAGUUAUUCCAUGUUAUUACAAACUUGUGGACACACGACGAACAAGCGUUUGGGGAAACAUUGGACGCCUCCAUGGCGGCGAGAAGUUUUCACGAUUCGCUGGAAGAAGAAGAAACGCGGGUUCCGGUGGCGAUUUUGUUUUGUCAGGAAGUUUGACGCACUCGGUCGGAGACAGUUUCUUGUGCUUUGUUUUGGUUUUGUAAAGCUGCAGGCGUACAGCUGGCUCCGUGCGGCGACUUUAUUACUGUCUUAUGAACCAAAGCACCGGGACUUUAUAGUUUAUUUUGUCAAAGUGUAGCUUGCUUGCGCAGUUUGCAAAGUUUGCAGCUUUGCGGAGUUUUUCCAGGGACUUCAUUCACCUCAGAUUCGCUGACAUAAACUCAAACUGUUACUUAAAAUACUUUUAAUGUGUAUUCUAGUAUUAUUUUCUUAUUGUAUUGUGUUUUAGUAAAAACAUAUUGUCGAGAUUAAUUAAAAUCCCAACAUUCGAGACGGUCCCUGAACUACUCACAUGAGUUUUAUUAGUAUCUUAAUUCAGACCACGCAGUUUUCCACAAAGAUUAUUUUUGGGGCAAAACCUGGCAGUAAAAAUCUGCAAAGUUGGCAGGAAAACAACCCAUUAAAUUGACAUAAUUCAGACAGUGUGGAGUCUGGAGAUGAUUUCAUCACCUUGUUUUGGUAGAUUUGUCUGUAUUAAGAUGAGACUCUCUGUCAGGAAAGCCUGAAAACAUCCAGUGGGACUUUUUAUCUAAACAUGUUUUGGAAAUGUGAGUUUUCCACAGAUCCCAGGCUGCAGCUGCGCAGACGUUUAGGCCCCAGCUGCAGCAGUCYGAUGUAGGAUUUUCCACAGGAACAUUUGGAGCUCACAACCUUUCUGACUUUUUUUUUUUUAUCACCUGGAAAGACUUUGUUGUUGGCUUUGAAUCUUCCGGGAAAGCCCCCCGAUCCCUGGGGGGUUAGCCCCUUCCAUCAUCCAUGGUGGUGUUUUUUCUACCAGACCUUCUCUCCAUGGACCACAGCAGCAGAUCUGCCAGGCUGUAGGUGGUUUCAGAAGCCUGAGGACCGGUCUGUGGACCAAUCGCAGCCACGAUGAACGAGCGGCAGGCUCUCCACUCUAUAAUGAAGGACCUGGUUGCCCUCCAGAUGACGCGGCGCCAGCCGGUGUUUUCUUACGACACAGGCAAACCAAAGGCAGCGAUGCAGACCAACAGACAGGACAAUGUCAGGAUAAAGUUUGAGUUCUCAGGAGAGAGGAGAAUCCUGAUGUUUGGAAGACCCGUGCAGUUUGAAGAAAUUCAUCAGAAAGUCCAGAGCGUGUUUGGCCAGAAGCUAAACCUUCAUUAUUUGAACAAUGAGAUGUCCAUCCCUUUGAGAGGUCAGGACGACCUGGACAAAGCAGUAGACCUGCUGGACAGAAGCUCCAACAUGAAGAGCAUCAGGAUCCUUCUUCUUACUCCGGAGGACAGCAAUGCCUCGCCCCGCUCUCAUCACGCGCCGUGCAAGCAGGUGAGGAUCAAGCCUUCCCAGUCCACUGGAGACGUCAACACGGUGUUCCAGUCCUCCGAGCCCAGGGGGCGCCACCUGUCAACAGGUUCUCAGAGCACAGGAAGAAGUUCGCCUCCUCCGGGGUACGUGCCCGAACGCCAGCAGAGGAUCGCCCGCCAGGGUUCAUACACCAGCAUCAACAGUGAGGGGGAGUUCAUUCCAGAGACCAGCGAUCAGUGUGUUCUGGAUCCCUGGAGCAGCGCGGAGAACUCUGUCUCUGGGAGCUGUCAGUCUCUGGACAGCAYCUCAGACAGCCCCUCYCUGAGGAAGUCCCGGAAGCACAGAGCGAUGAGUUACCCUGAUAAUCGACAAGAGCUCUCAGACAGAGAAAAUCACGUUUACGACAGGAUAGCAGGAAAAGGAGGCACCUACCCUCGGAGAUACCACGUUUCUCUGCACUAUAAGGACCACAGUGAAGGUCGUCGCACAUUCCCUCGCAUCCGUCGCCCACAGGGGAACCUCUUCACCCUGGUGCCUUCGAGGCGCUCGCUGAACGGCAGCGAGGAGAGUCUGGGCAGCUGGCAGCUGGUCGACACGCAACGCCAGCUGCGUCCGCUCGAUUGUUCUGUCCCGCACAAGUCCCCCAGCGCUCCGGUGACGUGGCGUCGAGGGAAACUUUUAGGUCAGGGAGCGUUUGGUCGGGUUUACCUGUGUUACGAUGUCGACACCGGGAGAGAACUGGCCGCCAAGCAGGUCCACUUCGAUCUGGAAAGUCCCGAAACCAGCAAGGAGGUCGGUGCUUUAGAGUGUGAAAUCCAGCUCCUGAAGAACCUGCACCACGAGCGCAUCGUUCAGUACUACGGCUGUCUGAGGGACCACAARGAGAAGACCCUCACUAUCUUCAUGGAGUACAUGCCAGGGGGGUCGGUCAAAGACCAGCUGAAGGCCUACGGAGCCCUGACGGAAAACGUGACCCGGAAGUACACGAGGCAGAUCCUGGAGGGCGUGUCCUACCUGCACAGCAACAUGAUCGUGCACAGGGACAUCAAAGGUGCCAACAUCCUGCGGGACUCGGAGGGAAACGUGAAGCUCGGAGAUUUUGGUGCCAGUAAGAGGCUCCAGACCAUCUGCAUGUCUGGAACCGGAGUCCGCUCGGUGACCGGCACCCCCUACUGGAUGAGUCCGGAGGUGAUCAGCGGAGAAGGAUACGGCAGGAGGGCUGAUGUCUGGAGCCUUGGCUGCACGGUCGUGGAGAUGCUCACAGAGAAACCUCCGUGGGCGGAGUUCGAGGCCAUGGCGGCCAUAUUCAAGAUCGCCACCCAGCCCACCAACCCGCUGCUCCCMUCCCACGUGUCGGAACAGGCGCGGGACUUUGUCCGCUGCAUCUUCGUGGAGGCCAAACACAGGCCGAGUGCCGAGGAGCUGCUCAGACAUCCCUUCUCUCAGGUUCUGGGCUGAGACCCGUUUGGUCUCGCCUCGCAGGUGAGGAGGAACUCUGUGAUGUCAGCGCCAGCUGGUGGUCUUUAAGAGUCUCUGCAGGGGGAGGUAGGAUGCUGAUCCGGACACACGUCAGUAUCACUCCUGAUCACACCUUAAAUUAUCUGACGAACAGAAAGCUGCAGAAAAAAAAACUGUUUUUGUUCCUGAACUUUAAAACAUGAUGUAUUUAUUACUUCAUUUUCUCCUCAACACAUCACGAUGCUAUUAUUAUUAAUUCUAUGAAUUAUUAUUAUAUUUAAACAAAUAUAAACCUUCAGUAUCUGGUUCACGUUGUUUAAAUUAAGCAAGAAUAUGUGUUUUCAUCCCAGCUGCUAAUUUAUUGAAACAAAAAUGUUUUUUAUUGUUUUGCAAACUUUUUUUUUUUGCCAUGCAGGUAAAGUAUUUUGUGAUUAUGGCAGCAUUAAUUAUUUUAAAUAUAUAUUUCCCUUUUAUACAAGAGAAACACCAAUUUGUCCAGGUUUUAGUUUUAGAUUAAAUGCAAUUUAAUUUACAAAAAUCUACAAACGAACAAACUUUAUGACUUUUUAUAUCAAAAAUAAAAAAACAUUUGCGUUCGGAAACAAAGACUUUUAACCUGUUAAACAACUCAGUGACUUUUCUGUGCUUCUAUAACUUUAAAAUAAGUUUUUUUUAAUCAAACAGAUUAGAUAGAAGUGCUAUUUCUAACUGUUGUUCUGUUUAUUAGUCAGCAGGUGGUGCUCAAUAAAAGUUUAAGUCCCAUAAAACUAUUUUAACUUCACUUUAAAUGUCUUUCUCCUCUUUAAACCAGUGUUUAAAUGAUGGAUUUGGGAAAAAUUAUGAGAUUUUAACAGAUUUUAGUCCCAAAAAACUGAUGAAUGAUGUUUUAUCUUUUGAAGCACUGUAUUUCCUCCUCUUGUAGCUCCUCAGCAUCACUGUUUUCCUCUGACAAAAGGCUCAAACUGGAACAGAUGUGUGGAAAUAAAAUGUUUGGGUUAAACUCUGAGGAGCCUCAAGUUUAGGAUCAUUUUAAAUCAGAUGCACUUUUCUUUUAACUAAAACAAACACUUUUGCUCUUUAAUUUUAUAUAUUUUUUUUAUUUAUAGCCCCGUUUUAAUCCAAAUAGGUGUUAAAAGCAACAUCUAUAUACAGAUAUUUUUAUAUUCAGACCAUGUGAUGAUCUAAGGUUUAGUUUUGUUAAACUGAUAGAAAGCAGCUGGUUUUGCAGAAGUUAUAAAGUUAAUGUUUUUAUAAAUGGGACCCGAGUCGAAAACUGAUUCUGGUUUUUGCUCCAGUGCAGAUUUUUUUAUAUUUUUAUUUUAUUUCUCACAUCCUUUGUUACAAACAAAGUUGUUUUAGAGGUUACCUGCAUCACUUUCUGGUCCGACUGGUGAAAAGAAACCAACUGAAGGGCCUUUUAUGUGAAUUUUCAUUAUUAUUAUUAUUAUUAUUUUGAUCCGGAUCAGAACCAGUGUUGUGUUCGACCCACGCGACGUGUUUGUUUACCCCGGGAAACGUGGAGAAACGGCUAAGGUCAGAAUGAUUUUAUUUAGCUGCUUCUUUUUACAGGCAGCUAAGUGUUCAGCAUUAAAACAAAUAAAUCAGUUAUUUAACAGAAACCAACCCUGGGUUAAACAAACGAACACAAACUAGAUGUUAUAACUUCAUAACUUUAUUACGACAAGACUUGCAGUGCAGAGUCGAAUGUAUCAAAGAGUAUAUUAUGUUUUAUAUAAAACGUGUAUAUUUCAUGACCAAUAAAUAGUUUUUAAAUUGAAA